UGAGAAGGGUGGAAGGAAUCUGAUGAACCUUUUAGGCCUGUUCAGACCAAAUUUGAAUUUCAUCACGGUGACUAUGAGAAACAGUUUCUGCAUGUACUGAGCCGCAAGGACAAGACAGGAAUUGUUGUCAACAAUCCUAACCAAUCAGUGUUUCUCUUCAUUGACAGACAGCAUUUGCAGACUCCAAAAAACAAAGCCACCAUCUUCAAGUUAUGCAGCAUCUGCCUCUACCUGCCGCAGGAACAGCUCACCCACUGGGCAGUUGGCACCAUAGAGGAUCACCUCCGUCCUUACAUGCCAGAGUAAAUAAGAGCAUUGACCAGCAAUGGAGAAGACCAGAGAAUGCAGCAGCUAUUUUCUUUUCUUGUUUUCUUACCACUUUUCUUUCAGAGUUUAAAGAAAAUGGACUCAUGCACAGAACACUAUGCGUUUUGAAACUUGUUCAUCCUGGAUUUAUUUUAAUCAUUUGUAUCACAGAACUUUAAAAAAAAUCAGAUGUCUUCUGCACGGACUGUGUGAAAGUGCUUUGCAGACUGCUGCACUGCAUCGGCGUCUUACUAAAGUGUGAAGGAAGGACUACUGUACACUGAAUGCUUACUGUAUCUGAAAGCACAGGGAUGCUCAGUGUUGUGGUCUUCAUGUCUGUGCUGGGUUUUGCCUCUGACAUUUGUCAUCAGUAUUGAGGGUGAGAGUGAAUGUAACAGGUAUAAAUAACAUUUAAAAACUUCAUAGCUUUGCUAUAAUCACCGU
rnacentral:lncRNA from 1 species